UCACCGUCUCGUUCGGUUGGAGCGUGGCGGUCUCGCCGCCGCAGGCGAUGCGCAGCGGUGCGUGGCCGCCGACGCCGGU
rnacentral:tRNA from 1 species